rnacentral:rRNA from 1 species
UACGUAGGGUCCGAGCGUUGUCCGGAAUUAUUGGGCGUAAAGAGCUCGUAGGCGGUUUGCCGCGUCUGCCGUGAAAGUCCGGGGCUCAACUCCGGAUCUGCGGUGGGUACGGGCAGACUAGAGUGAUGUAGGGGAGACUGGAAUUCCUGGUGUAGCGGUGAAAUGCGCAGAUAUCAGGAGGAACACCGAUGGCGAAGGCAGGUCUCUGGGCAUUAACUGACGCUGAGGAGCGAAAGCAUGGGGAGCGAACAGG